rnacentral:rRNA from 1 species
UACGUAGGGGCCUAGCGUUGUCCGGAUUUAUUGGGCGUAAAGGGCUCGUAGGCGGCCAACUAAGUCAGACGUGAAAUCCCUCGGCUUAACCGGGGAACUGCGUCUGAUACUGGAUGGCUUGAGUUUGGGAGAGGGAUGCGGAAUUCCAGGUGUAGCGGUGAAAUGCGUAGAUAUCUGGAGGAACACCGGUGGCGAAGGCGGCAUCCUGGACCAACACUGACGCUGAGUGAGCGAAAGCCAGGGGAGCAAACGGG